GAUGAACGCUGGCGGCGUGCCUAAUACAUGCGAGUCGAGCGAACAGACGAGGAGCUUGCUCCUCUGACGUUAGCGGCGGACGGGUGAGUAACACGUGGAUAACCUACCUAUAAGACUGGGAUAACUUCGGGAAACCGGAGCUAAUACCGGAUAAUAUAUUGAACCGCAUGGUUCAAUAGUGAAAGACGGUUUUGCUGUCACUUAUAGAUUGAUCCGCGCCGCAUUAGCUAGUUGGUAAGGUAACGGCUUACCAAGGCAACGAUGCGUAGCCGACCUGAGAGGGUGAUCGGCCACACUGGAACUGAGACACGGUCCAGACUCCUACGGGAGGCAGCAGUAGGGAAUCUUCCGCAAUGGGCGAAAGCUUGACGGAGCAACGCCGCGUGAGUGAUGAAGGUCUUCGGAUCGUAAAACUCUGUUAUUAGGGAAGAACAAAUGUGUAAGUAACUAUGCACGUCUUGACGGUACCUAAUCAGAAAGCCACGGCUAACUACGUG
rnacentral:rRNA from 1 species